AAUAUAUAUUUAUAGUUUUUUUUUUCGCAUCAUAAUAAAUCCGGGAUGACCCAACCGGUAUUGCCAACAGUAAAUUUAAUAUAAUUUGUAAACUUCUGGUUUACAAUAAUUUGUACUUCAAUUGCACUAUUAUAUAUAAAAGUGCAGUAUAAACUUCUGGUUUAUAACUUUUUCAUUACACUUAAUUUAUCCAAAAUAUGUGUAGUAAAUUAGUAAUAUAUAGAGAUAUUCAACAUCUCUUCAUUUCUUGUUUCCAUAUAGAUAUUCAUAUAUGAAUGACAAGAUUAUACUUAUGCAAUCAAUUGGUCUGCAAAUCAACAUCUCCCUUAUUAUUGGGCUGAAU
rnacentral:lncRNA from 1 species